AACAAGAUAGUUUAAUGGAAAAAUAUUGGGUUUGCGUCUCGAAGAUGGAUUUUUGUUCUUUUGUUA
rnacentral:tRNA from 1 species